GAUGAACGCUGGCGGCGUGCCUAAUACAUGCAAGUCGAGCGAACGGACGAGAAGCUUGCUUCUCUGAUGUUAGCGGCGGACGGGUGAGUAACACGUGGAUAACCUACCUAUAAGACUGGGAUAACUUCGGGAAACCGGAGCUAAUACCGGAUACUAUUUUGAACCGCAUGGUUCAAAAGUGAAAGACGGUCUUGCUGUCACUUAUAGAUGGAUCCGCGCUGCAUUAGCUAGUUGGUAAGGUAACGGCUUACCAAGGCAACGAUGCAUAGCCGACCUGAGAGGGUGAUCGGCCACACUGGAACAGGGACACGGUCCAGACUCCUACGGGAGGCAGCAGUAGGGAAUCUUCCGCAAUGGGCGAAAUCCUGACGGAGCAACGCCGCGUGAGUGAUGAAGGUCUUCGGAUCGUAAAACUCUGUUAUUAGGGAAGAACAUAUGUGUAAGUAACUGUGCACAUCUUGACGGUACCUAAUCAGAAAGCCACGGCUAACUACGUG
rnacentral:rRNA from 1 species